CGUCUGUAGAAUCACCUCUCACCAGAUGCUCCCAGAAGCCUCUCCUAUGAUCCAGAGUCUCUGAUAACUUUACUUUGAAGAACUCAAAGAAAAGGUGACAAUACACCUGCAGCAGGAUAGGAUGCGGAGUAGCCUGGAGGGAUGAUUCCCUGCAGUUCGACCCAUGAAAAAGAGAAUGCACAAUGGGAUCAACAGAAAACCAAGGGUCUGGCCGGGAAGAAGGACAGAGAGCACAACAGGCAAUGCAAUCUAUCCCUUCAUGGAGUUGUAAGAUGGCUACCAUCAGCACAAGACUUCGACCUAUGCCCUCAGUGACGCCAGCAGGAGAAAUAAUUCUUCUUCCUUAUAGUUCUGGUAAAAACCCGGGAAAAUGUCUUUUUGGUCUGGCUCACACCCAGUGCCCAACUCUGAGCCAUCACUAUGGACAACUGAAAAGAAAUUAAAAUUCACUGCCCAGACCUGGGUCAGCAAAUGCCCAUCCCUGGAGGAAGUGGGAAGAAAAGCCCUUCCAAAUUACAGGGGCUGCAAAUCAGGAAGGGAUGCUCCCCUCAGUCAAAUUCAGGUGCAGCGUCUUGAAAAAGAAGUGGAUGGGUAUCACCAGUCAGAACAACAGAUGUCUCCUCGCUCAACUUUCACCUAUUCAACACCACAAUAUUCCCAAAGAA